rnacentral:misc_RNA from 1 species
GCGGCGGAUGCCGGAAAGUUGGUCAAACUUGAUCAUUUAGAGGAAGUAAAAGUCGUAACAAGGUUUCCGUAGGUGAACCUGCGGAAGGAUCAUUACCGAUGAAACAAUCCAAGACGAGUCUUUGAGGCUUGUUUACUGUGUGAACUGUACGCAAUCUCUUAGGGGUCGGUCUUCGUGCCGUUAAAUGGUCGUCCGUCGCUUGGCGUGCGUUCGGUCAGCCCCGACUUUAUGUUUUUACAAACUUUGUUUAGUCAGUCUGAGACCCAAUAGUGUUGGAAAACGAAAAAGAGAGAGACAACUUUUAACGGUGGAUCUCUUGGCUCACGCAUCGAUGAAGAACGCAGCCAGCUGCGAUAAGUAGUGUGAAUUGCAGAAUUCAGUGAAUCAUCGAAUCUUUGAACGCAAAUGGCGCUCUUGGGUUCUCCCAGGAGCAUGUCUGCCUGAGUGUCGGAUAUCAUCCAACGCC